GAUAAACGCUGGCGGCGUGCCUAACACAUGCAAGUCGAACGUCCUCUCUUCGCAAGGAGAGAGGGAGUGGCGGACGGGUGAGUAGCACAUGGGAACCUACCUCUAGGUGAGGGAUACCGGCGAGAAAUCGCCGACAAGCCCGCAUAGCUUCGCCUCGCAAGAGGAGAAGAAAGCUCGACCUCGCAAGAGGGAGGGCGCCUGGGGAUGGGCCUGUGGCCGAUUAGCUGGCUGGUGGGGUAACGGCCUACCAGGGCGACGAUCGGUAGCUGGUCUGAGA
rnacentral:rRNA from 1 species